CAACUGAGGAAGUGAUCUCCGAUUUCCGUGUAUCAAAGUGUCAGAAGACUGCUCCUCGCUAGGAAUUAAUUCAAUCGUUUGAUUAAAGGGAAUUUUCUGCUCGUUACAACGACGUUUUAAUAGUUCAACUAGACUUACUAGUUUUACAGUAGCAUCUCCUUCAGCCACAAAAGAAACUUGUUUUUCUUUGACAAAAGAAUCCCACAACUUUAAAGAAAGUUGCUUAGCAUUUAUACUUUUCUCUAUUAUCAUAGUUUAUAAGCAAAAGCCUGCAUGGCGUUUAGUAGGCUAAUAACGUGGUAGUUAGACAGGUGCUCCCAAACAUUAAUUA